AGUGAAUGCUGGCGGUAGGCCUAACACAUGCAUGUCGAACGGCAGCACGGGAGAGCUUGCUCUCUGGGUGGCGAGUGGCGGACGGGUGAGGAAUACAUCGGAAUCUACUCUGUCGUGGGGGAUAACGUAGGGAAACUUACGCUAAUACCGCAUACGACCUACGGGUGAAAGCAGGGGACCUUCGGGCCUUGCGCGAUUGAAUGAGCCGAUGUCGGAUUAGCUAGUUGGCGGGGUAAAGGCCCACCAAGGCGACGAUCCGUAGCUGGUCUGAGAGGAUGAUCAGCCACACUGGAACUGAGACACGGUCCAGACUCCUACGGGAGGCAGCAGUGGGGAAUAUUGGACAAUGGGCGCAAGCCUGAUCCAGCCAUACCGCGUGGGUGAAGAAGGCCUUCGGGUUGUAAAGCCCUUUUGUUGGGAAAGAAAUCCAGCUGGCUAAUACCCGGUUGGGAUGACGGUACCCAAAGAAUAAGCACCGGCUAACUUCGUGCCAGCAGCCGCAGUAA
rnacentral:rRNA from 1 species